GACGAACGCUGGCGGCGUGCUUAACACAUGCAAGUCGAACGGAAAGGCCCUGCUUUUGUGGGGUGCUCGAGUGGCGAACGGGUGAGUAACACGUGAGUAACCUGCCCUUGACUUUGGGAUAACUUCAGGAAACUGGGGCUCAUACCGGAUAGGAGCUCCUGCUGCAUGGUGGGGGUUGGAAAGUUUCGGCGGUUGGGGAUGGACUCGCGGCUUAUCAGCUUGUUGGUGGGGUAGUGGCUUACCAAGGCUUUGACGGGUAGCCGGCCUUAGAGGGUGACCGGCCACAUUGGGACUGCGAUACGGCCCAGACUCCUACGGGAGGCAGCAGUGGGGAAUAUUGCACAAUGGGCGGAAGCCUGAUGCAGCAACGCCGCGUGCGGGAUGACGGCCUUCGGGUUGUAAACCGCUUUCGCCUGUGACGAAGCGUGAGUGACGGUAAUGGGUAAAGAAGCACCGGCUAACUACGUG
rnacentral:rRNA from 1 species